GAUGAACGCUGGCGGCGUGCCUAAUACAUGCAAGUCGAGCGAACAGACGAGGAGCUUGCUCCUCUGACGUUAGCGGCGGACGGGUGAGUAACACGUGGAUAACCUACCUAUAAGACUGGGAUAACUUCGGGAAACCGGAGCUAAUACCGGAUAAUAUAUUGAACCGCAUGGUUCAAUAGUGAAAGACGGUUUUGCUGUCACUUAUAGAUGGAUUCGCGCCGCAUUAGCUAGUUGGUAAGGUAACGGCUUACCAAGGCAACGAUGCGUAGCCGACCUGAGAGGGUGAUCGGCCACACUGGAACUGAGACACGGUCCAGACUCCUACGGGAGGCAGCAGUAGGGAAUCUUCCGCAAAGGGCGAAAGCCUGACGGAGCAACACCGCGUGAGUGAUGAAGGUCUUCGGAUCGUAAAACUCUGUUAUUAGGGAAGAACAAAUGUGUAAGUAACUAUGCACGUCUUGACGGUACCUAAACAGAAAGCCACGGCUAACUACGUG
rnacentral:rRNA from 1 species